UAUGAAGGGGGCGAGCGUUGUUCGGAUUUACUGGGCGUAAAGGGCGCGUAGGCGGCCUUGUCAGUCAGGCGUGAAAGCCCCGGGCUCAACCUGGGAACGGCGCUUGGGACGGCGAGGCUGGAGUUCGGGAGAGGAGAGUGGAAUUCCCAGUGUAGAGGUGAAAUUCGUAGAUAUUGGGAAGAACACCGGUGGCGAAGGCGGCUCUCUGGACCGACACUGACGCUGAGGCGCGAAAGCGUGGGGAGCAAACAGG
rnacentral:rRNA from 1 species